UUCAGACUAGUGCAUUCUGAUUAACAAUGUCCUCAAGAAGCACAGAAUUGUUUAUAAUCCUAACCUUAGUGUCUGGCUCAGCUGCUCUGUAUUGUCUGUCCUGUACGGAUUCUGUCUCUCCUAGACAUUGUCACACAGUCAGAAAAUGUAGCGACGGAGAGG